GGGGACGGGGACUGAAGGAAUGUCCUGGGGAGAAUUGUGGUCUCUCCCUGGGGUUCCCUGGCCCAAAGUGAUGGAGCCCAGUGGGUGCCAGGCAGGAUGCUGGCAGGCCAAUUCACUCCCACCCCUGGGCUACAUCACAAUGCAUGUGGUCCUCCCAACCAUCCCAUGCAGAGGAGCUGCAGUCCAGGAAACUGGUACUCAGAGGGACAGGAACAUUCCACGGAGGCAGCAGAGUAGGACUCACCUGCCUGACCACAGAGCCCUGCUCCAGCUGGAGCUGUUUAUCAUCGCUCCAACUUUCACUAAAAAGGAAAAACUAUCACUUAAACAAAGCCAUUGAAAACUCAGCAUCAUAUGUGGACUUCUUAACAUAAAUAAAUCAUACACACCAAGAUUUAUGUUCUCCAAAUGACAUCAUUCGCCAAAUGCUGCCUUCCCUAUCAAGGCCACGGUUAGUGAUUUUCCUUUGUGUGUGUGCCUUUUGCAAAAUAAAAAACGCCACUUGGGCAUCCUUUUCUCCGCUCAGCCCAGGAUGUCGGAAAGGCCUCUGCCUGGGUCAGCCCCGCAGAACCGGUUCUAAAUGGUGACAAGAGUCAAUGCUGCAGACUGUGUUUUAAGCUUUUGCUUUUGAAACGUAAGUUCUGGGAUGAAAGGCUGUUCAAGCUUCACAGUAUGUUUGUCCGGACGGCGGCAGCAGACGGAGCCCUGUGGGUCUCCCAGAGCCUGGGGUGUGCUGCAGGGGCACCAGGUUGAAAUGCACAAGGGAGAGGACACCCUGCGCCGUGGAGGCGCGUUUGGCCACCGCAGGGAAGGCGGCCCUGGCGCGGGCUACCACGUGUGCGGACUCAGCGGAGGAAGUCGGUCAGCACAGACCACAGACUGUAGGGUUCCACUGACGGAGAAUCUCCAGGAUGAGCAAAUCCAUACAGAUAGAAAAGAAACUAGUGAUCUGCCGGGGCCGGGGGUGAGGUGGGGUGGGGAAGGAGAAGGGGGGAGUGACUGCUUCAUUGGCCCGGGGUUUCCUUCUAGGAAGACGAAGAUGUUCUGGAAUUAGAGGAGCACUUCCUUUUCUUUCCUUUUUUCCCAAGUGGAGGCACUGGGGCUUGAACCCAGCACCUCCUGCAUGCUAAGCUCACGCUCUGCCACUGAGCUCUGCCCCACAAGAGACUGAAUUUUAAAACAGUGACUGUUACGCUAUGUGAAUUGCAUCUCAAUAAAUCUACUGUUUAAAAAUCA